CCUACGGGAGGCAGCAGUGGGCAAUUUUCCGCAAUGGGGGGAAAGCCUGACCCAGCAACGCCGCGUGAAGGUCAGUAGGUCGUCUCGGAUUGUAAAGUUCUUUUAUGAGUGACGAGUGACGUGACGGUACCUCAUGAAUAAGCCACGGCUAACUACGUGCCAGCAGCCGCGGUAAU
rnacentral:rRNA from 1 species